rnacentral:rRNA from 1 species
GCUAAACGCGAAGAACCUUACCUGGUCUUGACAUGUCUGGAAUCCCGAAGAGAUUUGGGAGUGCCGCAAGGAACCAGAACACAGGUGCUGCAUGGCUGUCGUUAGCUCGUGUCGUGAGAUGUUGGGUUAAGUCCCGCAACGAGCGCAACCCUUGUCCUUAGUUGCCAUCAUUUAGUUGGGAACUCUAAGGAGACCGCCGGUGACAAACCGGAGGAAGGUGGGGAUGACGUCAAGUCAUCAUGGCCUUUAUGACCAGGGCUACACACGUGCUACAAUGGCAGGUACAGAGGGAAGCCAACCAGCAAUGGGGAGCCAAUCCCAGAAAGCCUGUCUUAGUCCGGAUUGGAGUCUGCAACUCGACUCCAUGAAGCUGGAAUCGCUAGUAAUCGCAGAUCAGCAUUGCUGCGGUGAAUACGUUCCCGGGUCUUGUACACACCG